rnacentral:rRNA from 1 species
GAUGAACGCUAACGGCAGGCUUAACACAUGCAAGUCGAGGGGUAGAAGUUGCUUGCAACUUUGAGACCGGCGCACGGGUGCGUAACGCGUAUGCAAUCUACCUUAUACAGAGGGAUAGCCCAGAGAAAUUUGGAUUAAUACCUCAUAGUAUAAUUGAAUGGCAUCAUUUAAUUAUUAAAGUUCCAACGGUAUAAGAUGAGCAUGCGUCCUAUUAGCUAGAUGGUAAGGUAACGGCUUACCAUGGCAACGAUAGGUAGGGGUCCUGAGAGGGAGAUCCCCCACACUGGUACUGAGGCACGGACCAGACUCCUACGGGAGGCAGCAGUGAGGAAUAUUGGACAAUGGGCGCAAGCCUGAUCCAGCCAUGCCGCGUGCAGGAAGAAGCAUCUAUGGUGUGUAAACUGCUUUUGUACGGGAAGAAACACUCCUUCGUGAAGGAGCUUGACGGUACCGUAAGAAUAAGGAUCGGCUAACUCCGUGCCAGCAGCCGCCGCAGUAA